GAGUAUAUUCAACUGCCCAUAUUGACUGAGUACUCAUUAGAGAUCUCAAGACUGGAAACUUGGUUGGAGGGCUUUGGAGAAGCCUCAGGAGGCAUCCACAGAAAAGAGAAACUGUGUUAUCCGUGGAGGCGCAUCCCUGAAAUCCAAGCAGUGGAGAGGCAGAGACAGGUGUGUUCGUGCGCCAUGGUAAGCCCGUGGAGGGCAGAGGACAGCUGCUGGGGGUCUGUCCAGUUCUUUCCCCGUGUGAGCACCAGGGAUCAAAGUCAGGUCAACAGGCUUGACAGCUCAUGUAUGGACAUUCGAUGCUGCUUCGAAGAUGGAAGAACCUUUGGAAGAUGGCAUCUACAUAAGAAAGCGGGUCUCUGGGGAGGGGCCAAACUUGGAGGUUUUUAAUCCCAGCCCCACUUGCUGACCCACUCAGAUGUGAGCAAGCAGCCCCACGCUCCUGCCACCACAGCUGAGAGCUG